rnacentral:lncRNA from 1 species
GGGUCUGGUGUGUCACUUCCCCUCCUAGAAGCUCCCUGCCAUCAAUGGUGGUCACUUGCAAGGGAAAAUCCAAAGGCAGUAAGUGGAGCUGGUGCUCUAAUGCAAAGUCUUUGCUGAAGAAAUUACAUGAGCUGCCUGAAUCCAGCAUCCCUUUCACCUUGACUGGGUGCCCGUUCGGGAGUUCUAGCACCACUUCGAUGGCUAUUGCCGCCUUGGGGGUCUGGUUGGGGCACUUUUACUGGUGGCUGGCCUGGCUGUUGUGCCCCUUGAUUGGCAGCCAAGCGUUCCCGUUUCCCUGUUCCUGUUCCUUUACCACCUCCUCCUCACCCCCUGCGGCUCCCACCAUUCCUUGCCAGGCCUUUCUUUGAGGGCAGGCUCUGGCAAAAUGGCCUGGCCGCUGGCAAAGGUAACACUUCUUGGAGGUUUUCCAAUCCUUUCCCUCCUUUUUGCGCCCUUCGCUGGUGCUUGAAACUUCCCGCGCGCGUGCCCCAUCUAUUUCCAUUGGCUCUGCUGGCGGGGAGGCUGCCUUGGUAUUUCAGGAAUGCGGUAGUCAUGGCAACGUUGCUCUCUCCCUUCCCGCCUCUCCUGGGCCCGCGCUUCCUGGCGCACGCCAAUCGCAAGCACAGCCUUGGUCAGCUGAUCCAUCCCCUGUGGGCGGGGUGCGCGGGAAAGUUCAUCCUUAACCGUUGGGGACAACCCCUCCUCGAAUAACAUCUGUAUGGGUUCGGAGCCCAGUUCCCACCCGAGGCGGUGAACUAUCAUGGCAAAGCGCGACCAGUAGUCCCUAACUGACUGGCUCCCCUGUUUACAGUUCAUCAAUUCCCGCUUUGUCACACUUUUUUGAACAUCAGUGGAAAACAUUGCGUCCAUUGCUUGGAAGAAUUUCCUCAGGUCCUGCAUGGCGGCAUUCUGCGUCGCCAUAAGGGGCCUGACCCAUUCCCUGGCCCCGUCCUGCAGGUGACCCACAAUAUAUGCCACCCGCGCCGCGUCGUCUUCAAAAUCGUCAUGCUGCAAUUCCAAUGCGUACUCUAUUUCCGUUCGAAACGCACUGUAUUCUUGCGGCUUCCCCCCAAAUUUGUGCACCAGUCCCGGUACCUUCCUUGCUAUGGGGGUGGGUCUGACCUGUGCAUCUUGAGACCGCCUUUCGUCCAGCCGCGCCGUCAGAAUGGCCACAUGCUGCUCCAACUCUCGGUUCCUCUCCACCAGCGUUUGCCCUCCAGCUGCUCCCCCCUGGGUGCUGGCUUCUCCGGGCUUGCUCAUGAUGCUGCCUGCCUGCUGCUGCGCACGAGCAACUUUCAGGGACUGACGGAUUGCUGUGAUGAGUAUGAGUUACUCGUGCGUAAACUGGUGCCUCUCUAGGCUAAUUUGCCUUGUUAAACCUUUCUGACUGCACAGCCCUUUCUAAUCAUGACUGUCUCAGUCACUGGCAGAAUCCGUCAGUGGGCGUUUCUUGAAUCUCUUCCAACAUAAGAGUUGUUUGACACCCAGUCUCCUCCUCCUCUCACUGCGCGGGAGCCUUCUGCGCAGGGAGGGCGUAGGUAGCGGAGGACCUGUCCCCUCCUCACUGAGUUCCAGUGAAGAGUCCGUGAGCCCUCUCUCCGAUUUCCCCAUCUGCCCACUUUUGUUCCUGGUGUUGCGCUUAAAUGCUUCCCCCUCCACUGAGCUGCUUCUCCCCCUGCUGCUGGGUCCUUCUCCAGCAUCAUCUAGGAGCCUCCCCUUCGCCUCCCGCUCUGAUGUCAGUUCCCUGACA